rnacentral:rRNA from 1 species
AACGAACGCUGGCGGCAUGCCUAACACAUGCAAGUCGAACGAGACCUUCGGGUCUAGUGGCGCACGGGUGCGUAACGCGUGGGAACCUGCCCUUAGGUUCGGAAUAACUCAGAGAAAUUUGAGCUAAUACCGGAUAAUGUCUUCGGACCAAAGAUUUAUCGCCUUUGGAUGGGCCCGCGUAGGAUUAGCUAGUUGGUGGGGUAAGGGCCUACCAAGGCGACGAGCCUUAGCUGGUCUGAGAGGAUGAUCAGCCACACUGGGACUGAGACACGGCCCAGACUCCUACGGGAGGCAGCAGUGGGGAAUAUUGGAAAAUGGGCGAAAGCCUGAUCCAGCAAUGCCGCGUGAGUGAUGAAGGCCUUAGGGUUGUAAAGCUCUUUUACCAGGGAUGAUAAUGACAGUACCUGGAGAAUAAGCUCCGGCUAACUCCGUGCCAGCCGCCGCAGUAACAC